GCUGGGCACUGUGGUGCAUGCCUGUAAUCCCAGUAGCUCAGGAGGCUGAGGCAGGAGGAUCAAAGCCAGCCUCAGCAAAAGCAAGGUACUAAGCAACUCAAAGAGACCCUGUCUCUA
rnacentral:sRNA from 1 species